AUUGAACGCUGGCGGAAUGCUUAACACAUGCAAGUCGAACGCGAAAGUCCUUCGGGGCGAGUAGAGUGGCGGACGGGUGAGUAACGCGUGGGAAUCUACCCUAGAGCGGGGGACGAACCCGGGGAAACCCGGGCGUAAUACCGCAUACGUCCUACGGGAGAAAGAGGGCCUCUGCUUGCACGCUCUCACUCCAGGAUGAGCCCACCGUCCGAUUAGCUAGUUGGUAGGGUAAAGGCCCACCAAGGCCACGAUCGGUAGCUGGUCUGAGAGGAUGAUCAGCCACACUGGGACUGAGACACGGCCCAGACUCCUACGGGAGGCAGCAGUGGGGAAGUAUUGGACAAUGGGCGGCAAGCCUGAUCCAGCAAUGCCGCGUGAGUGAUGAAGGCCUUAGGGUUGUAAAGCUCUUUACCUAGGGAUGAU
rnacentral:rRNA from 1 species